rnacentral:lncRNA from 1 species
UUCUGCAUCGCGCCCUGCUCAGCUUCUCUGGUGCCUGCAGCCGCUCCAUGUCGCCAUUCCAGUCGACCUCAUUGCUCAUUGCUCCUGAUGGAUGAUUGGAUCUUGUAAUGUUGCGACAACGACACGCAAUGGUGAUUUCCUUUCUCUGCUGCUGCCUGUACGGUGCUCGGGAUAUUCCCAUUCAUUAUUGUCUUUGCCUCUCUAGCCACCCGUUAGACGCUCGAUGCAAUGUCUAAACUGAAAACCAUCAUCUUUCUUGUGUUUAUCACGUCGGAUUGGUCAUGGUAAGCUGAUUUGUUGCUUGUAUAGUUGGAUUGAUGACUAGUCUAGCUAGGGAUAUUAAUCGCGAUGAUUACCUUGUUUGUAUAGCAGGCGAGUUGCGAUUAUAUUAUGUUGAUGAAAUGUGUUAGUAAUUUUAAUGGUCUCGCCGAUAAAUGUUGUCGGUGUUGCUUGUAAGGAGUUGUGUUGGUUUGAUGAAGUUGAUGCUCUGUUUUAGUAAUCAUCAUAUUUUAGCAAGUAAUUAGUUAGAUGUCUUGAAUAAGCUGUUUCGAGUGUCUAAACAUAUGUAGUACAAACAAGCUGAAUACAAUUGAAACUUGAGAACUUCGUAGUGGAUGGUGCACGCAAGUAUUUUAGAUAGUUAAAUUAUUGAGUCUGCAGUUUCUCAUAACACUUUUCUACUUGACAAUACUUUAUUAACUAGAUCAAAUAGUGUGCUUAAAUUGAUUCUUUGGUUACAUAAUGUGGGAGUAGAUUCAAAAUACCAGGUUAUGUGAAGUGAUUGGAUUCAUGGUUAUAAAGUAGGAGAAAUGCGAGUGUGUAGUUAGUAUGUAUAGUUUAUUAUUUCGUGAUUAUUGUGUUGGGUCAUAUGUCGAUAACCAGUAUUCUCGUAUGAGUGAUGUACUGUGCCUCUCCGUUAAGUGUUUAAUUCUCUACCCUGUAGCAUUGUUUAUUAUCGUUAUAAUCCUUAUGCAUUCAUGUGCAUAAUGCAUCUCAUUUAGGUACGAUAAUUAAUCACGUGAUGCGGAGGAAAAGAGCCAAGUUGAUCUCAAGAUGGUGCAAGGAGUAGUCUUUUUUGCACAACGACGUCGUCAGUCGGACGAACCUGAAGAGGUACGGACGGAGCAAAUAUCAGAACAAAAGCUGAUCGCCAAGUGG